rnacentral:rRNA from 1 species
GGGGAAAUAGGCUGAUGCAGUUAAAGCUCGUAGUUGGAUUUCGGGUCCGGACGACCGGUCCGCCGUUUCGGUGUGCACUGGUCGGCCUGAUCUUUCUGUCGGGGACGCGCUCCUGGACUUCAUUGGCUGGGACGCGAAGUCGGCAAUGUUACUUUGAAAAAAUUAGAGUGUUCAAGGCAGGCUUACGCACGAAUACUUUAGCAUGGAAUAACACGAUAGGACUCCGAGCCUAUUUUGUUGGUCUUCGGGACCGGAGUAAUGAUUAAGAGGGACAGUUGGGGGCAUUCGUAUUUCAUUGUCAGAGGUGAAAUUCUUGGAUUUAUGAAAGACGAACUUCUGCGAAAGCAUUUGCCAAGGAUGUUUUCAUUAAUCAAGAACGAAAGUUGGGGGCUCGAAGAUGAUCAGAUACCGUCGUAGUCUCAACCAUAAACGAUGCCGACUCGGGAUUGGCGGAUGAUUUUCAAUGUCUCCGCCAGCACCGUAUGAGAAAUCAAAGUCUUUGGGUUCCGGGGGGAGUAUGGUCGCAAGGCUGAAACUUAAAGGAAUUGACGGAAGGGCACCACCAGGCGUGGAACUUGCGGCUUAAUUUGACUCAACACGGGGAAACUUACCAGGUCCAGACAUAGUAAGGAUUGACAGAUUGAGAGCUCUUUCUUGAUUUUAUGGGUGGUGGUGCAUGGCCGUUCUUAGUUGGUGGAGUGAUUUGUCUGGUUAAUUCCGUUAACGAACGAGACCUCAGCCUGCUAAAUAGUGGUGUCGACUCCGGUCGGCGACGACUUCUUAGAGGGACAAUUGGCGUCUAGCCGAUGGAAGUUUG